GUCAGAGUGAUGGAGUAUAUUUCAUCAUCAGAAUAGUCCAACUUGUUUGCAGGAAAACAGGUGGAGAGAUCCCAAGAACAAAAGCAUAUGUAUAUCAAGCUUCUUGAGGUCCAAUCACAUAACUUGCACUUCUGCAUUCUGACCUUCAAAGCAAGUUGCAAGAGGAAUCAGAUUCAAAGCUUGGGGAAGUCAAUCCCACAUCUCAUUGGAAGGAGCAAUAAAUAUUUCUGCCCUUCAAGAGAUAAGCUUGAAGAAAGAAGUGUCAAAAAUGUAAUCAUGCAUUUGAACAGUGAUUCCCAGCCUCUCCCAAAAUUCUACAUCCAAAGAGGUACCUGAUCUGCAGAGCCCAUGAUGGGAAGAAUAAUGGACAUCCCAGCAGGAACCCAGAUUUUGGUGAGAUGUCAACUUCAACUCCUAGGGAAUGGCCUAGCCCACCAGUUCUCUUGACCUGGCCUGGAAAGAGGGGUGGGGGAGCUAGGAAAAUAACUACUGUCACAAUAAUAACAUCAGACUUGGAGGGAAAGCAAGGUCCACUACUCAAAAGAUGAGAAAUGCUGGUCCAUUUUCUCUUCUUAUGCUCAGAAAUGGGUUAAUGGUAAUCAGUUGGAAUCAUAGAAACUGAUGGAAAAGAUAGACAAAGAGAAUAUGGGUUGGAGAAGAAAAAUGAGAAUAAAAGUGGAGCAGAAAAAGGACUGGUGGAGAAAAAGAAGCCCAGAGGGCACGGAACGAUGAUCAGAAAGAAGAAUCAGACUCUGCUCCCCUGCAAUCCAGCCCUAGGAAAUCCUAUUAGGCAGCAAAAAUGAGAUUAUUGUAUUUUAACUUCUCCACAAUAUGCAAAUGACUCCAUUUAGCUGCUAAACAUGUUGUUAUUGAAUUCUGAGAAAUUCCCUUCAUAAAAUGUAAUAUUUUUGUGACAAUUUUGUCAGCAAUGCCAGAUUGCUUUUCUAUUUUGGUUAAGCUUUUAUCUGAGUCUAGUAUAUGUCAUCUACUUCCAGAUUCCAAAAUGAUUGCUUUUAUGUAAUUUUUAUGUAAGCAAGAAAUAAUAACAUGCUUAGAAAUGUGAGAAAUGUGUUAACCUUCCCAUUAUUUUUCAGUGCCCAAGAGAAUUAGAGGGUGGGCCAUAAUGGGGAAUGUAAUUAUUUCUCAUGAUGAAUUUUUAUUUAUGUUAAUAUCCUCGAGAGCCCACAUAUCUGUUAUUAACCACGUCCGUUUGUUUUGCUGUGGUCUUCGUAUCCCAUGCCUUUAAUCCUUCUACUUUUAGAUGCUGUUUGCAUAACUGGCAAAGACUUUAAACCUGUGAACAAAGGACUGAGAAAUCACACUUUAUAUCUCUGACACAUUUACUCCUCCUUGCUAACGUCACCCCAAUUCCGACGAGUUUUAAUAAAGACACUAGCCUCUC